CGUCAGGUAGCUCAGUGGUUUAGAGCAGUCGCCUGGCAAGCGAAAAGACUCGGUUUCGAUUCCCGGUCAAGCGA
rnacentral:tRNA from 1 species